rnacentral:rRNA from 1 species
GGGUUUAAUUCGAUGAUACGCGAGGAACCUUACCGGGCUUAAAUUGCAGAGGAAUGAUCUGGAAACAGGUCAGUCUUCGGACUUCUGUGAAGGUGCUGCAUGGUUGUCGUCAGCUCGUGCCGUGAGGUGUCGGCUUAAGUGCCAUAACGAGCGCAACCCUUGUGGUCAGUUACUAACAGGUAAUGCUGAGGACUCUGGCCAGACUGCCAUCGUAAGAUGUGAGGAAGCGGGGAUGACGUCAAAUCAGCACGGCCCUUACGUCCGGGGCUACACACGUGUUACAAUGGGAGGUACAGAAGGCUGCGACCCGGCGACGGGCAGCUAAUCCCUAAAGCCUCUCUCAGUUCGGACUGGAGUCUGCAACCCGACUCCACGAAGCUGGAUUCGCUAGUAAUCGCGCAUCAGCCACGGCGCGGUGAAUACGUUCCCGGGCCUUGUACACACCGCCCGUCAAGCCAUGAAAGCCGGGGGUACCUGAAGUGCGUAACCGCAAGGAGCGUCCUAGGGUAAAACCGGUAAUUGGGGCAGUCGACGCGGCCG